GGUAAGGCCUUCCCUAGAAGUCUACUAAGUCUGUCCCAUCAUCUAGUUGAGGCAGGACCAAGGUACCUCUCCACCCCACACCCCUGUGUCUAGGCUGGGCAAGGUAUCUCUCCAUAUAGGAUGGGCUCCACUAUGUCAUUUUGUGCAUUAGAGUUAGGCCUUGGACCCACUGCCAGUGGCCUCAUGUAUUGUCCCAGUUGCACCCGUCACCUAUAUUAAGGGAGUCUAGUUCAGUCUUACGAAGGUUCCACAUUUGUCAGACCUGAGUCAGUGACCUCUCACUAGCUCGGGUCAGCAGAUUCUGUGGGAUAAUGAUUUCUUUUGAAAUAGGGUCCCAUAGUGGAGUACCUGGGCUAGCCUGGGACUCGAUAUGUAGCCGAAGAUGCUCUGACCCUCUGGCUUCCCUCUCGAUUCUACAUCCUGUGUGCUGGAAUUACAGAUACUCCCAGCGUUGAGAUGAACUGUGAAGCCUUUGGAAGCCCCUCUGAAGCUCAUCGUGAAUGGGUGAUGCAGCGUUAAGGAACACACGGAUCUGGGUACCUCAGGGAAAAUACUAGAAACGUAUGAGAUCUGCUAAUGAAAUACAGAGACUGUGGAAAGCAGACCCUGCCGGACACGUACCCUUCAAUGCCCGGUCUAUGAUGCGUAUGGCCAUCGUCAUGAGAGUCCAGCACUUAGAACAUAUGUCUGCAGAACUGGAACACAGUCACCAUUACUUGCUGUCAGUAACAUCACCCCACUCCAACAGAAGGGGCUUACCUGCAGCAUCUCCUCACAUCAUCGUAGUCUGUCAUGUCGAUGUCAAAGACCAGUUCUUUCUCCUGAGCCUGGAAAGCUCCCAGCUUCACUGUACUGUGCUGACUGGGCUACAGAUACAAAAUGCCCCUCAGUUUCUGAAAGAACUGCCCAUGUCUACUCGCACAGAAAAAUGAGUCAAAGAAAUUGCAUAAUACUACAACGUCCAUGGCGCUUUGAGUCACUACUUUGGCUCUCACACAACCUGAAUUAAUGAGUUUUAUUUUUUUAAUCUACUUAGAAUAGGUUUAAUGAAUUCUCUAGAGAUAUAUAUUGUAUGACAAAUCAUAAAGCUAUUUUAGGUUUCUAAUAAAGAAAUGUCUAUAUAAAUAAUCCCUUA